UUCGGGGCUCCUUGGUGAUUCAUGAUAACUUAACGAAUCGCAUGGCCUUGCGCCGGCGAUGGUUCAUUCAAAUUUCUGCCCUAUCAACUUUCGAUGGUAGGAUAGUGGCCUACCAUGGUAUCAACGGGUAACGGGGAAUUAGGGUUCUAUUCCGGAGAGGGAGCCUGAGAAACGGCUACCACAUCCAAGGAAGGCAGCAGGCGCGCAAAUUACCCAAUCCCGACACGGGGAGGUAGUGACAAUAAAUACUGAUACAGGGCUCUUUUGGGUCUUGUAAUUGGAAUGAGUACAAUUUAAAUACCUUAACGAGGAACAAUUGGAGGGCAAGUCUGGUGCCAGCAGCCGCGGUAAUUCCAGCUCCAAUAGCGUAUAUUUNAGUUGUUGCAGUUAAAAAGCUCGUAGUUGAACCUUGGGCCUGGCUGGCCGGUCCGCCUCACCGCGUGUACUGGUCCGGCCGGGCCUUUCCUUCUGGGGAACCGCAUGCCCUUCACUGGGUGUGCUGGGGAACCAGGACUUUUACUUUGAAAAAAUUAGAGUGUUCAAAGCAGGCCUUUGCUCGAAUACAUUAGCAUGGAAUAAUAGAAUAGGACGUGCGGUCCUAUUUUGUUGGUUUCUAGGACCGCCGUAAUGAUUAAUAGGGAUAGUCGGGGGCGUCAGUAUUCAAUUGUCAGAGGUGAAAUUCUUGGAUUUAUUGAAGACUAACUACUGCGAAAGCAUUCGCCAAGGAUGUUUUCAUUAAUCAGUGAACGAAAGUUAGGGGAUCGAAGACGAUCAGAUACCGUCGUAGUCUUAACCGUAAACUAUGCCGACUAGGGAUCGGACGAUGUUAUUAUUUGACUCGUUCGGCACCUUACGAGAAAUCAAAGUCUUUGGGUC
rnacentral:rRNA from 1 species